UACACUCCUACGGGAGGCAGCAGUGGGGAAUUUUGGACAAUGGGCGAAAGCCUGAUCCAGCAAUGCCGCGUGAGUGAAGAAGGCCUUCGGGUUGUAAAGCUCUUUUGUCAGGGAAGAAACGGUGAAAGCUAAUAUCUUUUGCUAAUGACGGUACCUGAAGAAUAAGCACCGGCUAACUACGUGCCAGCAGCCGCGGUAAUACGUAGGGUGCAAGCGUUAAUCGGAAUUACUGGGCGUAAAGCGUGCGCAGGCGGUUUUGUAAGUCUGAUGUGAAAUCCCCGGGCUCAACCUGGGAAUUGCAUUGGAGACUGCAAGGCUAGAAUCUGGCAGAGGGGGGUAGAAUUCCACGUGUAGCAGUGAAAUGCGUAGAUAUGUGGAGGAACACCGAUGGCGAAGGCAGCCCCCUGGGUCAAGAUUGACGCUCAUGCACGAAAGCGUGGGGAGCAAACAGGAUUAGAAACCCCUGUAGUCCCAUG
rnacentral:rRNA from 1 species